rnacentral:rRNA from 1 species
CACGUAGGGGGCAAGCGUUGUCCGGAUUUAUUGGGCGUAAAGAGCUCGUAGGCGGCUCAGUUAGUCGGGUGUGAAACCCCCGGGCUCAACCCGGGGACGCCACCCGAUACUGCUGUGGCUAGAGUCCGGUAGGGGAGCGUGGAAUUCCUGGUGUAGCGGUGAAAUGCGCAGAUAUCAGGAGGAACACCGGUGGCGAAGGCGGGUCUCUGGGCCGAAAUUGACGCUGAGGAGCGAAAGCGUGGGGAGCAAACAGG